AGAGUUUGAUCCUGGCUCAGGACGAACGCUGGCGGCGUGCUUAACACAUGCAAGUCGAGCGAGGCCCCACCUUCGGGUGGGUGUCCUAGCGGCGAACGGGUGAGUAACACGUGGGCAACCUGCCCCUAGCACUGGGAUAACCCCGGGAAACCGGGGCUAAUACCGGAUACGACCUCGGAGGGCAUCUUCCGAGGUGGAAAGGGUUACUGGCUAGGGAUGGGCCCGCGGCCUAUCAGCUUGUUGGUGGGGUAACGGCCCACCAAGGCUCCGACGGGUAGCCGGCCUGAGAGGGCGACCGGCCACACUGGGACUGAGACACGGCCCAGACUCCUACGGGAGGCAGCAGUGGGGAAUAUUGGACAAUGGGGGCAACCCUGAUCCAGCAAUGCCGCGUGUGUGAAGAAGGCCUUCGGGUUGUAAAGCACUUUUAUCGGGAACGAAACAUUGUCGGCCAAUACCCGGCAAGACUGACGGUACCCGAGGAAUAAGCACCGGCUAACUCCGUGCCAGCAGCCGCGGUAAUACGGAGGGUGCAAGCGUUGUCCGGAAUUAUUGGGCGUAAAGAGCUCGUAGGCGGCCAGUUGCGUCCGCUGUGAAAUCCCGGGGCUUAACCCCGGGCGUGCAGUGGAUACGGGCUGGCUGGAGGCAGGCAGGGGAGAACGGAAUUCCUGGUGUAGCGGUGAAAUGCGCAGAUAUCAGGAGGAACACCGGUGGCGAAGGCGGUUCUCUGGGCCUGUACUGACGCUGAGGAGCGAAAGCGUGGGGAGCGAACAGGAUUAGAUACCCUGGUAGUCCACGCCGUAAACGUUGGGCGCUAGGUGUGGGUCCCUUCCACGGGGUCUGUGCCGCAGCUAACGCAUUAAGCGCCCCGCCUGGGGAGUACGGCCGCAAGGCUAAAACUCAAAGGAAUUGACG
rnacentral:rRNA from 1 species